UGGUGGAGCGAUUUGUCUGGUUAAUUCCGUUAACGAACGAGACCUCGACCUGCUAAAUAGUGGGGUCUAGUCUUCUGACUAGGCCGUGGAGCUGAUUGUAGCCGAUUGUCUCGCAAGGGAUAUUUGGUUGCCGUUUGAUCCAAUUCACUUCUUAGAGGGACACUCGGUGUUUAUAGCCGAUGGAAGUUCGAGGCAAUAACA
rnacentral:rRNA from 1 species